rnacentral:rRNA from 1 species
UACGUAAGUGGCGAGCGUUAUCCGGAAUUACUGGGCGUAAAGCGUGCGUAGGCGGUUUAGUGUGUGGGAAUUGAAAGCCCGGGGCUCAACUCCGGAUCCGGUUCCCAAACUGCUAGACUCGAGCGUAUCAGAGGACAGUGGAAUUCCCGGUGUAGCGGUAAUAUGCGUAGAUAUCGGGAGGAACACCAGUGGCGAAGGCGACUGUCUGGGGUAUUGCUGACGCUGAGGCACGAAAGCCAGGGGAGCGAACGGGAUUAGAUACCCCGGUAGUCCUGGCCUUAAACGAUGAUCACUAGGUGUAGGAGGCUUCGACCCCUUCUGCGCCGCCGCUAACGCAUUAAGUGAUCCGCCUGGGGAGUACGGCCGCAAGGUUAAA